rnacentral:lncRNA from 1 species
AGUCCUUGAUGUCCUACCAAGGAAGACGUCCUCACAUCUUGCAGCAGGAACCCAUUGAUACGGCGCCCACCUUGACUUCCGAAUGGGACAGCGCAUCCUCAGAAGCAACGGUGAUGGCGGUGAUGGCGCCUGCAUCACACAUCGAAGACGCUUGUGCUGAUAGCUCAAGCCCUUGAAAACCCAGCCAAGGUCAGUGUCGUAUCCUCCAGGAAUCCUGGCCGGCAAGAUGUGCUGGAAGUUGCUGCCGCCACCAGAGCCACCUCUGUUGCCGGCCGCCCCAUCCUUGGACCUUCGCCAAGCCAGCCCAGCCAGUCCUCCGAGGGCCGCGACUCCCGCCGUCACUAGUCCCGCUGCUGACCAGCAGCGGCCCCGCACAGGUGCGGUCACCUGUGUCACACGGAUGCUCCUCGGGGCCACGUGGACAUUUCCAGCCCAGGCCGCAGGGGGGCGCUGGCCCAGAGCCUCUGCGCAUGUGCAGCCCCUCCCGAGGCCCACUCGGGGAGGAGGCCGCGCGGGUCUCUGCUGCAGAGAUCCUGAAGGGAUGGAACAGGAAGAGCAGGCUGCUGCCGCGGGCCACGACGGAGAAGGAAUUUCAGGGGAGAAGAAAUUAAGGGAGUCUUGUUCUGAGAGCACCAUUCAGACCUUCUUUCAGGAGGUGAUAUUGGAGGAAAGAAGGUCUCUCUGGGAGGCAGAAGGUGAUGCUGGAAAAGCAGGCCAAUUUAGAGCUUUAUGGAAAACAAGACUGAGGGAUGACUGCUGGCUUCCUUGUCUCCUCUGCAGAUUCCUGAAGUUACGUCUUCUAAAUACUGGUCAGACUUAG